rnacentral:misc_RNA from 1 species
GAUGAAGAACGCAGCGAAAUGCGAUAAGUAAUGUGAAUUGCAGAAUUCAGUGAAUCAUCGAAUCUUUGAACGCACCUUGCGCCCUUUGGCCAUUCCGAAGGGCAUGCCUGUUUGAGUAUCAUGAACACCUCAACUCUUUAUGGUUUUCCAUGAUGAGCUUGGACUCUGGGGGUUUUGCUGGCUCACAGUCGGCUCCUCUAAAAUGAAUCAGCUUACCAGUGUUUGGUGGGUAUCAUGGGUGUGAUAACUAUCUACGCUUGUGGUUUUUCCACCAGGUAACCUUCAGCAGUGGAGGUUCGCUGGAGCUCAUAGAUGUCUCUCCUCAGUGAGGACAGCCCUUUGAAUGUUUGAUCUCAAAGCAGGUAGGACUACCCGCUGAACUUAAGCAUAUCAAUAAGCGGAGGA